rnacentral:lncRNA from 1 species
GCCUGAAGAUCAAUAUGUAAAACACUCAGCUCCUUCUCCAGUAUCAUAUCUACCUGCAUUCCACCUUGCUUCUUACCAUGGCGAUAAUAGACUAAACUACUGAAACUGAGAAGCAGAACAUGAUGUUCCCAGGGUCUUUUUCUCCAGAAGGCUGUGGGUGCCAGUGGAGGCCAGAAGAAAGCAUUGGAUCCCCUUGAACGGGAGUCAUAGGAAAUUGUAAGCCACAUGAUAUGGUUUCAGGAAUCGAACUUUGCUCUUCUGGAAGAACAGCAAUAUCUCUUAACUACCAAACCAUCUCUCCAGCUGUAUGAUUGCUAGAUUUGUGGUGAUAUAUGAUAUGAGUAACAGAGGUGAGCAUAUUAAGUGAGGUUGCCCAAUCUCCUUAACAGUAAAUACUUAGUUUAAGAGAAAAAAUGUGUAAAACACAUAUGUCAAUGGGAAACCUGAUAAAUUCAAUCAUGAUAUGUCCCUGUACACUCCAUGGAACUCACUGUUUCUAAGAACAGAAAUACCUGAAGGCUGAGUUUCACCAUGUAGCUAUGACUGUCCUGAAACUCACAAACCACAGAGACAGGCCUGCACCUGGCGUUUGAAGGCAUGCAGGAGUGUGUCCUGCUAGAAUCUACCUAUUCCUAAAUGUGGUUAUCUGAAGUAUGGUAUUAAAAUAGCCUGAGAAACAAGCCUAGAAAAAGACAACUGUUCCUUUCCUGAAUAGUUGCUGCAUCAAAAGAUCCAUAAUUU